rnacentral:rRNA from 1 species
GAUGAACGCUGGCGGCGUGCUAAACACAUGCAAGUCGAACGAGAAAUGUAGACGGAAACCUUCGGGCGGAAGCCUUCAUUUCGAGUGGCGGACGGGUGAGUAACGCGUGGGUAACCUGCCUCAUACAGGGGGAUAACAGUUGGAAACGACUGUUAAUACCGCAUAAGACCACAGCAUCGCAUGAUGCGGGGGUAAAAACUCCGGUGGUAUGAGAUGGACCCGCGUUCGAUUAGCCAGUUGGCGGGGUAACGGCCCACCAAAGCGACGAUCGAUAGCCGAUCUGAGAGGAUGACCGGCCACAUUGGGACUGAGACACGGCCCAAACUCCUACGGGAGGCAGCAGUGGGGAAUAUUGCACAAUGGGGGAAACCCUGAUGCAGCGACGCCGCGUGAGUGAAGAAGUACUUCGGUAUGUAAAGCUCUAUCAGCAGGGAAGAAAAUGACGGUACCUGAGUAAGAAGCCCCGGCUAACUACGUG